UGAGGAAUAUUGGUCAAUGGGGGCAACCCUGAACCAGCCAAGUCGCGUGAAGGAUGAAGGUCUUAUGGAUUGUAAACUUCUUUUACACGGGAAUAAAGUGGGGGACGUGUCCCCCUUUGCAUGUACCGUGUGAAUAAGGAUCGGCUAACUCCGUGCAAGCAGCCGCGGUAAUACGGAGGAUCCGAGCGUUAUCCGGAUUUAUUGGGUUUAAAGGGUGCGCAGGCGGGAUGUUAAGUCGGCGGUGAAAUUUUGCAGCUCAACUGUAAAAGUGCCUUCGAUACUGGCCUCCUUGAGUGUGUAUGAAGUAGGCGGAAUUUGUGGUGUAGCGGUGAAAUGCUUAGAUAUCACGAGGAACUCCGAUUGCGCAGGCAGCUUACUAAGCCACAACUGACGCUCAUGCACGAAGGCGUGGGGAUCAAACA
rnacentral:rRNA from 1 species